UAAUACGGAGGUGGCAAGCGUUGCUCGGAUUUACUGGGUGUAAAGGGCACGUAGGCGGUCUAGUAAGCCCUGCUUGAAAUGCUUUGGCUCAACCAGAGCAUGUGGCGGGGGACUGCCAGACUUGAGGAUGAGAGAGGCGAGCGGAAUUCCCGGUGUAAGGGUGAAAUCUGUAGAUAUCGGGAGGAACACCAGUGGCGAAAGCGGCUCGCUGGCUCAUUUCUGACGCUAAGGUGCGAAAGCUAGGGGAGCAAACAGGAUUAGAUACCCUGGUAGUCCUAGCCGUAAACGAUGGACACUAGGUGUCGGCUCCGUCAGGGGUCGGUGCCGCAGCCAACGCGUUAAGUGUCCCACCUGAGGAGUACGGCCGCAAGGUUG
rnacentral:rRNA from 1 species